GGGAUUUUCCGGUUGAUCCCGCCGGACCUGACUGCUAUCGGAUUGAUACUAAGCCAUGCGAGUCAUUGUAGCGAUACAAGGCAGACGGCUCAGUAACGCGUAGUCAACCUAACCUAUGGACGGGAAUAACCUCGGGAAACUGAGAAUAAUGCCCGAUAGAACACUAUAUCUGGAAUGGUUUGUGUUCCAAAUGAUUUAUCGCCGUAGGAUGGGACUGCGGCCUAUCAGUUUGUUGGUGAGGUAAUGGCCCACCAAGACUAUUACAGGUACGGGCUCUGAGAGGAGUAGCCCGGAGAUGGGUACUGAGACACGGACCCAGGCCCUAUGGGGCGCAGCAGGCGAGAAAACUUUGCAAUGUGCGAAAGCACGACAAGGUUAAUCCGAGUGGUUUCUGCUAAAGGAACCUUUUGUCGGUCCUAGAAACACCGAUGAAUAAGGGGUGGGCAAGUUCUGGUGUCAGCCGCCGCGGUAAAACCAGCACCUCAAGUGGUCAGGAUGAUUAUUGGGCCUAAAGCAUCCGUAGCCUGCUUUGUUAGUUUUCGGUUAAAUCUAUACGCUCAACGUAUAGGCUGCCGGGAAUACUGCAAAGCUAGGGAGUGGGAGAGGUAGACGGUACUCGGUAGGAAGGGGUAAAAUCCUUUGAUCUAUUGAUGACCACCUGUGGCGAAGGCGGUCUGCCAGAACACGUCCGACGGUGAGGGAUGAAAGCUGGGGGAGCAAACCGGAUUAGAUACCCGGGUAGUCCCAGCCGUAAACCAUGCAAACUCAGUGAUGCAUUGGCUUGUGGCCAAUGCAGUGCUGCAGGGAAGCCGUUAAGUUUGCCGCCUGGGAAGUACGUACGCAAGUAUGAGACUUAAAGGAAUUGGCGGGGGAGCACCACAAGGGGUGAAGCCUGCGGUUCAAUUGGAUUCAACGCCGGA
rnacentral:rRNA from 1 species